AAAUUAAAAAAUUAUAUAAUUAUAACUAGAUUCACAACAAUCUCACCACCAAUACUGUAAAAAUACAUACAUUACCAUUGAGAAAUGCUUACUACUAUUAGUAUCAAAAUGACAAUUUGUAUGGAACAUUGUUAUUCGUACCCCUAUGGUCUUGAGAAAUUACAUACCAUUACUAGAAUUUUGCACUUUUCUGUCAUAAUGUAGGUAUGCAAUUAUUCUCCAGCAAGGAUUUUCUUUUUAUCAUUACUAUUAUUAAAUAAGAAUAACAAAAUGAACCACUAGACUUUAAACCAAUGGUUAGAACCCAAAACUCACAAUUGUGAGGUUAUGUAUUCGGACCUCUCACAAUAUAUUGUGGGGGUUUAAUUUCUUUCCUCAAUUUGAGUAAAGGUAAUAUUCUCCCUUUCAAAAUGUGAGUAGUGUAGACGUCUCUCGAAUAUUAGAGAGGUUAAAAAUCUGAGCAGUGCUUUAUAAGAAUUGAUGUAAACUAGUCCCAGUAAUAGUCUGAUUUGUAAAUAUUUGUAAUCUUAUGUAAUAUGAGUGGAGGUGGCCAAUAGGUCGAACGGCACGGGGCACACCACGUGUCCGUACAGCACGACACGAGUACGUUUCGGUAGAGUACGCGGCACGGCACGGCACACACGUGGGCUGGACCUGGCUUAGAAUUUUAAGCACGUAGGCCUUAAAAACACGGCACAAUUAGAGAUGGGUCAAAGUACGGCACGCAAAAAAGUACGCAAUGAAUAUGUUUCAUUUUUUAAUGAAAGUAAACUUAAAAUUUCAUGAUUUUAUAAAAAAGUUGAAAUUGAAUCUUUUAAUAUAUUUUAUUAGCUUCAGUUUUUAAAAUUUAUUUAAUUCUUA
rnacentral:lncRNA from 1 species